CAAACCCACAGCUCUUGUGUGUGGCUGCUUUCCUCGCUCUCUCGAGGUCGUUCGAGCUUCGCCUCCUCUUUUUUGAUCCGUUUCUACCACCUUCGAUUCCAAAGAUGGCGAGAGUUCCAGGCUUCCGAUUUGCCACCGAGGUCGCUCCGCCGCAGCUGGUCGCUGUUGUGAAGCCAAGGGCGUCGAAGAUCUUGGACACGAUUCCUGAGGAGGAGAUGGAUUCCAUCGAAGACCAGUCAUGCUCUUCCGAGAGCAUCCCUUUGUGUGACUGGUUGGAGGAAGACCGUGAUUGGUUGGAGGAAGACGGUGGAGAGAGGAGAAUUUUGGCCUGAAAUUUGGAUCUUCUUGUCCAUGUACAGUUCCUGACUCUGUGACGUUAUUAGCUGUGGGAUUUCGAGGGAAGGAGAGCUCUUCUUUCUUUGGGUGUUUGUUAUUGGAAUUUGUUAACCAUCUUUGUAGCACUUGAGCUUUCUUUCACGAGAGAGAGAGAGCAAGGUGUCGAUGGAGAUGUUUAGGAACAUUAGACUAGGAAAAAGUCUGUUCCCCUGAAGGUUUAACUUUCAAUUAAGGCCUAUUGGAUUGUGCCAUUCCAGUGUUUCUUUCUUUCUUUAAGGUGUAUGCGAGCAGAGCUUUAUUGAAUCCUGUGGUGUCACAAUUACCUGCUCUGAAGCUGCUGAUUGUUUCUUUUUCCAACCAUAGCAUCGAUUUGCCCUUCUGUUCCCCCUUGAAAUUAUAUGAUUAUUGGCAUGUCAAACAAUUAAGAGACCAUUGCUUAGACUACCCAAACAUAAGGCCUAUCAGAUACUAUGUGAACUUUUAUCAAAUGUCGAUCUGAUGAUGUUUUGAGAAAACAAGAGAAAAGAAAAGGUGGAGCAUCAAUUUGAAUAUCGUAUAAGAAAAUUUUCCCUUCACCAUUAAUAUUAAAAGGCUGAAGGCAAGUGGGGAGAUACUCCAUCUUCACCAGACCACCCCCUAGACGGGAUCCAAGCAUACUAUGCACGGGCACAGCCAAUCACCACAGACCAAGACAGACUGCACCCGCUAACAAUCCAAAGGUUCCCUUUAGUGCUAAAUAUCUAUAUAACCUCACGGUAUAAAAGCAUCCAAACACUUGACACUGAUAUGAUAAAAAAUCUAAUAGUAUCAACAAAACAAUCAUCUUCCUAAAAUGCAGCUCUCAUUUCAACCAAAAUUUGAACUCUUUUGUUUAAAGAAAAAUCUCUCCUCCAUAUGCUACUUUCUUUAUACCCAAUUCUGGCAUUCUUGUUACUUUUUGUUUUUUGAAACUGUAGCAGUGCAGAAGACGUGACCAGAUUUUCUGUUGAACAAUCUGAAAAAGGACAUGAAACUUAUUUUAAUUCAAGCAAGAAUGUGUGUGUGUGUAUUCCAAAAUAAGAUGCAUCAAGAAACUGUUUCUAAUGACCAUAGGUUACAACUUGCAGCUGUCAACAGAUACACCAUUUGAAUCCUACAAAAGGAUUCUGUACAGUCUCUCCUUUGCCUCAGAUUCCUCCCAAGGUAUCAGGAAAUUUUGGAGUUAGUUUGCAGCAUAAGAACAGUAAUUCAUGAAGCAAACUUGGGUAAACCAUUGAGAUUAGCCCAGAAGGAACAAAGAAUGGGUCAGAUCAAGAGAACGGUCAGUCCACCAAUAAAUACAAUGACUGAGCGAAAGAAAUAACACGCCGUGGUCACGGUUUUUACAUACCGCUAUCCACAGAACCGAAAGGAUUCACGGUUACUUAAGAUUCGCUGAUAGAUCACACACUUCAUCAUCUUGAGAAGCCACACCAACAGCUUCAAAACCAUUAAAUGUUGCAGCUGCUUCAUUUCACCAUAUCAGCAACUUCUUAAACAUUAAAUAACAAAGCUAGUUGAUCAGCAAAGACUAAUUGUAGACCUGACAUCACCAGGAAAACACUACGCCACAAGUUCAAUUCUUUAGUCUUUUUCAGACAGCAGAAAAACAGAACACAUUCUUCAUUUAUUAUCCUGAAUCCAAUCAAAAGAGAGAUUUUUUUGGCGGAUGGAAACAUGUAACCCACUAAUUCUUAACGAGGAAAUCAUACUUGAUUUUGGAUGCUGCCUCGACAGAAUCUCCAUGAACCAUCAUCUUGCCUUUUCAAAAUAUAUUUAACUUUGUAUGUACUGCAAGAAGACAAUCCCAAAUAAAAAAAAAUGAAAACCCAAAUUUUAGACCAAGCAUGACACUGACAAAUAUACUGAAAGGAAUAACCUGUAAUAACUUGGUUUAUUCAGCUGAGACUCAUCAACAAGCUCAGCAGCUUCUUCUAGUACACCCUCAAUUUCAGCAAUCUCACUACCAACUCCAUCUGAUAUUAUAUCAGCCCGCUGAAUAGACAGAUGCAGUAAAACAAAUCUCCAAAAACAUGACCUAGCUUUUGCUGAAUGUGCUAAAUCUUGCCACUGUCCAUCAAAAAAGGAACAAUGAAGAAUACCCAAAAAAAAAAAAACAAAGUUACAACAAACCAAACAAAAAACAAAUACAAACAUGCAUUCACCUUUGAAAGCAUAGACUCAGCAAGAAUCUCUGAGAGUGCUUGUAUUUUAUAGCUUGGACCCAGUGCCACAGCUUUGAUGUCUUGCCAUUGCUUCACCAGGGCUUCUGCUUCUUCCACAGCCAUUUGUUCCAUUUGUAGCAAAUUACCAGCAACAGCAGGUAGAAGUGAGAGAUCAUCAGUGGGCCAUGAAUUCUGCAAAGUUUCAGCAUCUUUUUGAUGCUUAAGGUGUCUCCUGAAUGGAAUCAACAGGUUCCUAAGCUGGGCCCAAAUGUUUCUAUCAAUAAAGCCAGAAGCACUUUUUAAGCCUGAAUGUUGACUCAUGGUCCAGGCGAGGGCUUCUUGGCUCAUUGGGUGACCAGAGUGCCAUUUAUGUGAAAACUUAGUGUGAAUAAAUUGCAUAUUGAAGAGCUUAAAGGCACCGAGUAGAAAGCAUCCCGCAAGAGUAGUACUUACAGCUUUCCCUGCUAUGUCUCCUACCAAAUACCAGCCUUUCAAACUUUCUGUGUGAUUUAUUCCAAGGUUUCUCUUUAGCUGAAAACAUGCGCCACUAGGGCUACCAGGACCCUUAACUAAAGCUGGUUGACUCUGAAGGUCAGCUGGUGCAAGUUGCUUGACAGCUUCACCCAGAUGUCUAGUUGAAUUAAUAUGUGCCUUCUGCUCUGCAGACGCUCCAUGGACAGGAAAAAGAACAAAGGAUGGUGGUCGAUAACUAGUAGAAGGGACCCUUUUCAUGUUUCCUAUUUUUUGCUUGCCAACACUUAGAAUCUGCUUUGGGCCCCCAAAAACAUUGGCCUAAAAUCAAUAAAUAAGAUUUAGAACAUUCCUAAUCCAAAGAGCCAUGCUUUGUCACAUAUCCAUCCGGUACAGUACUAACCAAUGAUGGAGAGCAAUCUCGUGUAUCGGGAAACAGACAUAGAACAGCAUCCUUCAGCCAUGUUUCCUGAUAAAUUUCAGCAGGUCGUCUGGCAUAAGACAAUUUCAAUCUUAAGGGAAGUUCUCUGAUCAGUAAUAGCUAUGUUUGCAACAAGAAUCUAGGUCAUCUACCUUCCCAAAUUGCCCCUUUUGUCUUGGACAGCAAUAAGGGUAAAGUUAGGUUUUCCAUAACUUCCCAGUGUCAAGAGUUCAUAGUCAAAAGAAACUGUGCACCAAUUGCUGAAUUGCAACAAGGAAGUCACAAUUUGUGAUGAAAUGAGAUAGUUUUUAUUUUAUUUUUUUAAAUUAUAUUUGAAGGUAUUGCUGCAACCACUAAAUUUUGGAAUUGACAUCAGACAAUUUGUUUAUCCUCUAUUAAAAUGGAAACGUAACAACAUGACAUCAGAUAAUUUGUUUACCCUCCAUUAAAAAGGAAACGUAACAACAAGCAGACUUACAUAAAACAUAACAAGAGUUCUCAACAUCUUAUGACAAUUUACAACCAGUAAGAAAACAACAAAAGAACAGCUUUGCAAAAACAACUUUACAAAACAUAUUAUGAAGUAGCACAAAGAAAGAAGAAUAGCUACACAAGAACAACUUUGCAAAACAGACUUGUAAAGCAAGACAUGGUUCAUUAAUUAAAAUAUGAUAACUUUUUUUGGUAUACAAUAAAGGGCAUCUAGAGGGAUAAAUUUCUUGAACAACACAAAGACAACAGUGAAUCUGUAUUUCCUAACAACAUCGCCUACAAGUUUAUCAGCAAAAGUGAAUGGAGGUAGGUGAGCGAGAAAUAGCAGGGGUGCAACAAAGGAGAAUGCAUUUAUGACAUGUGACUGAGCACCUAAGAAGUUAUAGUACCAUGUAUAUCGUUUUAUAAUUGCAUAUAUGCAAGUUUGUCUGUCUGUCCAUCCAGUAAGCAUUCAAUUCAUUGCAUGUAUGUACAUAUCUGCAUACGUAUAUAUGUAUAGCAGCUCCAGUCAUAAAAUAAUACAUUAAUGAAACGCAUGUAACAUUCAAUUUAUUGUUGCUUAAGUCAUAUUAUAUGGCUCGUGGAUCUUUGCAUACAAAAUGAACAUCGUAUUAUGCCCUAUGUUAUUAAUCUUAGGAGUAAAAUAUAGUUUUGUGGUACCAGAAGUUAUUGUCUUCUAAAAGUGUAGACUUGUGUAUGAGUGUUCUCGCAGCAUAUUUGCAUACACAUUCUACCCAAUCUUCAAAACUAAACAGCAGGUAUACGUUUGUAAGCAUUCAAAACAUUGGGAACUCAGAGGGUUGUCGCUGUAGUGUCGAAUGAGCAUCCCAAGACAAGGGAUGAGGGUCAUUUCACCACUUGAGCCACUACCAAAACUCCAAAAGCAUUUGGAAUAAUCAGUUGGUAUACAAAUAAUUGGUAGGCAUACAUAUCUGAGCAUUCAAAGUAUUGGGCAUGGAAAGAGAGAUUGCAACUGAAAGCAUUGAAUUAGCAUCUCAAGCUGAGGGAUAAGGUUGUCAUUUCACCGUUCCAGGCUUUGAGCCAUUAGUGAAAGCCCUUACAGUUGUUGACAGUUCUAAUAGAACUCAAGAAAUUGAAACGUUCCAACUGAAAGCAACAAUAUGGAACAUGUAGCAUGAGUUGUAACCAGAGAAAUUUUUUGAAGCAUUAGAUCAGACAUCUGACAGAGGCAUGUGAAAAACUUUUUGAAGCAUUAGAUCUUUGGAACAAAAGUGUGGCAUUUGCAACUAUGGGUACCUAUAAGUGAAUAAAAGCUCAGGCACAGAGUGCUCUUCUUAGCUUGUUUAUUAUUAACUUUUUUAAUGACCGAAUGCUGGAUAUGUCUUUUAUUCCCAAAUUGAGAGGUGAAAACCACAAUUUAUCUUGAAGGAUGUCCACUCCCUCCUUUACUUCCCAUAUCACAAAAACAUUACGCCAAUGUCCAUUUCAUGUCAAUACCAUGCCCCCCUUAGUCCGGUCAAUUUACCAAACCUACUUAGCAGCUUUCUUUUCUUUUCUUUUCUUCUCUUUAUUGAUAGGAACUCAACAGUUCUUUUGAUGGCAGGCUUCUUUUGACGUCAAAUUCCAGUAGACCACUACAAUCUCCUCAAUCAUCUCUGAAGGUAUCUUAUGCUGACAUGAAAUACCUAUACAGAUUGGAGAAGGCAGAAUUGAUAAGGAUUAGCAUUACUUCAAUAUUUUUUCCUUGCAUCUCUCUCUCUCUCUCUCUCUCUCUCUCUCUAUGUGUGUGUGUGUGCGUGUGUGUGUGUGCUCUUGCGCGUGUGUGAAAUAGGAUCUCAAAUUGACUGAGAAGACAAAGACCCAAGCGAUCUAUAAAUACAUCACCAAAAUCAGUAAAUCAGUUUCCAAAAGAAAAGGAAGUAUAUGAAUUUUAGCAAUCUCAGUGGAACAGAUAUAAAUAAUGCAAUAUAUGGGUUUACAGAGGCCACGUACCAGAAGCAGCACCACCUAAAUAAGUUGAUAUCUCACUUGAAGGGAAAAAAGGGCUAAGAUCACCAGCAUUGGAAGCUGUCUAAAUGAAUGUAAUGUAGUGAAUGCAAGGUUUUUGAGUGAACUUCUACUAUAUUUAUAUUGACAUGAGAAAACAAGCAGAAAAACUAUAUAUAUCUGUAUUUCUUUAUUAGUUACUCCCAUUAUCUCUUCUGUUUUUCAAUGCCCGCGAUCAGCUAUUUUCACAUUCAGCAUUCAUUCCUAUGAAGACAUGAGACCUUAGUCAUUGUAAUUCUUCUACCCUUUCCCUUGUAAUCAAAAGGAAAAUAGCUAUGUACUGCAUAAAUUUCAAUAUCACUUGAAAGAAAAGUGUCCACAAUGAAUACUGAAGUAAACAUUGAAGUUUCCUCAAUUGAUUGACACUUGAGUCCAAUAAAUCAACACCUUCAGGAUUUGUUCAUAUUUUUAGACAAAAAGAGAAGAGAAAGCCCGCAAGGGGGGGGGGGUGUUGUUGGGUGGUGGCAGGGGGCACAGAUCUUCAAUGGCUAACACUUUCAAGAAAAAUAUAUGAAGAAAACAUAAUAAAUUGUCAGGAUAAACCGGCUGCAAGACUAAUCUAAAAGCUUCCUAAUCUGUUCCUACCAAAAAGAAAUAAUGUGCAGCAUAUGACGUACCAACAACUGAUUAACAGUGCCCUUGACUUUGUUGUCUCUUACUGUAGUUGGAUCAAAAGUCCGUAAAGUUGAAUUUCCAUUGACUUCAAGUUGGUGAAGUUUUCCAAUAGCUGCUGUCCCAUCACCCUGAGCACCAACAGUUAGUUUUUGUAUAUCUAAAUGCAAAACAAUACAAAUGUCCCUUAAAAAUUUACCUGCCCAAGAAGAAAAGAGCAGAAGGCUUCCUCAAAUUUUAAAUCCACACCAUCUGAUGCAAGCAAACACUCACAGAUGGUUUUUGCUCUAGCGAUCUGCAUCACAGAUUACCAAGAGUUAGACCAUUGCAUUGAGACAAUAAAAUUAUCGUCUUUAGCUAAGAAAAGGAUACCUUAUCAAUUUGUCUUUUUGAAAAUCCAAGAGCAAUAUGAGCUAUCAUCCCCAUAUAAAAACAAUUAUAAUCAAUUACAGCUCUCUGAUUCUGUGAUUCUAGAGAUUUCUUGUUCUUGCGACUAACAGCCAAGCUGUCCCAAGAAAGAAGAUCUACUAUUUCAGUAGCCAUUAGCUUAUUCAUUGCCUGGCUCAAGAAACAAGACCAGUCUUGAACUCUACAUGAAGAUUCAACAUCAAGACCCUGUCUAAGCAAUUCACGCAAGGCUGAAAUUGCUCCUCUCCUACGUUCAGCAUUAUCAGGAGUGCGAGGCAUGUCUAAUAUCUCCAAUGUGCAAGCAGGUGCAAGCUCCUCUAAGGAUUCUUCUAUCUAGAAGCAUACCAAACAAAUCCAGUUAUUUGAAGGAAUGCGUGAUGAAUGGAAAUGGACAUGUAAGGUGUUUGCCUGUGAUAGCAAUGGCAUUUUUCCUAGAGAAAUUUUGCUCCUCAAUAGGUAUUGAGCACGAGCUAGAGCUUCAAAUCCUUCAGAUACUUUGCUUUUUUCAAAACCAGUCUUCGCAAUUGAGCACUUCAUCAAAAAAAAAAAGUGAGAAGAUAAUUGACAGAGUGAUAAAUACUGACACAAUUAAAAAGCAAUGCGUAAAAUGAUUUAUUUAAAAAAAAAAAAAAACUUGUCAAUACUUCAGAUAGUGCCAUGGAGACAAGCAAAUCAUGAACAUAUGGUUUAGCAUCAGGAAGUUGCACAGCUGCUCGACCAAUAUCCAAUACCAGUUUUUCCUGUCCCACCUGUAUGAAAUAAUUAGUCUUCUGUCACCUCUAAUUGGGUUAAAUUAUAACACAUAAAUACCUUAGUGUAGCAAAUUAGUAUCAGAUUUUGGAAACUGAAUUUUGACGUAGUAUAAUAGACAUAUUCCAUGCAUAUCAAUCAGUAUACAUAUCCCACCUCACAGGGUGCCUUUCUUGAAUAAGAAUCAAUGCAUAUAGCAACAUCCAUAUAGGACCUUUCUACAUUCCAAUAUUCCAAGCAAAAUUGGCAUAUAAUUAAAUGAAUUAUCAUUACGAUGCAGAAAUGCUUCAAGUGCACAAACCUUCUUAGAGGUUCUAAACAUAUAUAUUCAAGCUCUGAAUCAUAUAACAGUGCAGACAUCACUAUACAUAGGUGCAAUUGUGUUGAUAACCAUGUUAGUACAUCUUGAAUUGCCUUUUUUAAGAAUUGGAGGUCCCAAGUGAGAAUAACUUUGAGGAAGUAUUUGUUACUGCUUGAUCUGUUUCAGCUGACCAAAAGCAUGUGAAAACUCUAUGCAUUCCUAUGGAAUACCAUAAAAUGGAUUCGGAAACCAAGCGUAUAUCUAAAUUAGGAGGGCAGGUAAAUUCAAAUAAGCGCAUCACUAAUUAGAUGUCUUAAGAAUAUUAACCCUAUAAUCAUGACAGCUCUCUCAAUUCAGAUGACAGAUUUCCUUCCUCACUGCUAAGUUGGAGUUCACAACAUUGGCAAAGUCGUAGCAAAUUUGACCAACCAAGGUAGAAGCUCAACCUAAAUUUUCCUAAAGCUUAAAGCAGAAAGUUGGUGCUAAUUAAUAAUUCAACUUUCUGACUAAAUGGAGAGGAAUUAUUGAGGAUAUGCGAUCAGCAUUUCUAUUAGAGCUCUAAGAUGGCUUUUCAAUCAUAUAUUUCUCUUGUACCAAAUUCUCGAAAUCAAAGUUUGACCAAACCAAGCAAUAAACAAUGUUACGAAACUAUAGCAAGCAAAUGGGAACCAGGGGGCCACCUAGUGCCUAUGCAUCAAGCAGUUGCAUAGGCACGUGUUUAAACCUAAAAAGACAGAUAUGGCACAACUUACCAUAUACAGCACAUCAUUGGGAACUACUAACUUGCAACAGCAAUACUAAUUUAUAAAUCAAUCUAAAUCUCCAUACUCAAAAUGAUGCAAAAUGUUAAGGGGUGAACCGAGGCAGCUCCGUCUAGGAAGACCAUCUCGGCAGCCAUCAGUGUUUUAAGAAGCAGAUUUGGUAUUCAAGCUGCAUAUGUGAGUGCAUAUAUGGCUGCUCUUUAUUAACAAUUUAAAUGAAAUAUAAUAUUAAUUAUUAAAACAACAACAACAAUAAUAAUAAUCAUAUAAUAACAACAAUUUUAAAUGGAUGGAUAAUAGCAAUAUUAAUAACAAAAAUAACUAACAAUUAGUGCUGAUUACCUAGUAUCUUACGACCAAUAGCAAUAACUAUAACAGAAUCAACAUUUUACCACCAUUACUACUCAUAUCAGGCCUACCUAAAAUCCACAUCAAACCUAAUCAUGAGCUUGAACCUGCUUCACCUACAUGGGUCCACAAAAGAGUAGGUUGUAUACAUAGUCCGAAAAUGCUAUGUUGGCUCACAUAUGCAGUCAUAUGAUAAUAAGCAUGCCACAUAUACAGCCGUUCAAUCAUAAGUUGGCCAACUUUUUGAUCCAUGGGUGGUAUGAUGGCAUACGCUACUGCAUAUAGACAAUGUGGUGUGGUCAAAGGACAGUGUUGAUGCAAAAAUCCGCCGACGUCGGAGAAGUUGGAGUCGAGGGAGUCGCGGUCGCCGCUGGGACCUGCAAAAAAAGUCUAAACCGGAGUUGGGGGUGCUCCGGCAAGACCUUUCGACGCUCAAGUCAGUUCUCUGCCUCAACAAGAAUGGAGUGCUCGAACGAAAAUUUUUNNNNNNNNNNNNNNNNNNNNNNNNNNNNNNNNNNNNNNNNNNNNNNNNNNNNNNNNNNNNNNNNNNNNNNNNNNNNNGUAGCAGAAGCUCGGAGUAUAUCGCUUGUAGCAGAAGCUCGAUGUAGAUCGCUUGUGGUGGGGGCUCGGAGUCCGGCCCUUGUAAGAAUUCAGAUGAGGUCUACCUGCAAUGGGAGCUCAGGGCUGAAGUCCGACUCCCGUAGGAGCUCAGACGAAGUCUCCCUGUAGUAGGAGUCCGGAGAAGAAGUCCGGCUCGGAUGAAACCCAGAAGGCGGUCGACCGCCGUAGAAACUUGGAUGGAGCCCGUCCGUCGUGGAGAUCUGUUGUUGGGAAAGUUCGGCCACUGACGAACUGACGUAGUUCUGGAAGAAAUUCGGAUUGGAGUCGAUCGAAUCCUGUCGGAAAAGAUCCGGAAGGGGUCCGGAGAACGGUUGACCCUUGUAGGAGAUCGGCCGAUGGUAGAAUCCAGAGAGCACUUGGAACAGCCUGAUGGACAACCGAAGAAGCUUAUCGCUGGAGAAGCCCGGGAGAUGCAGCAGGAGUUCGUCCGUCGGGAGAACCCGGUCGACACUCGUGGAAGAAGCUGUGGGAGUUUAUCCGUCGGCAGAACUUGGAAAUAUUGCGGAAGCUCGACCGCCGGAGAGGUUCGAAAAGAUGUCGCCCAAGGUUGGACGUCGGCAGAGUCCCGGGAGGAUCACUCCUGGUAUGAACUUCGGCUGGGGGGGUAUUUUAUACCCAACAGACAGCAUAAACACGUGCAGGCCUAUAUGCUGCAGUAUGCAAUCCAUUUCAUAACACUGACAGCUAUGUUUUGAAACAUUGCCGAUACAGUGGAUCUGAGCUCAGCUAUUAUUUUUAACACAAGUUUAACAGUGUUGUUUAGCUGAUCAACUUAUUAAAUGAUUGUGAGAAAAGUUAAACCCCUUUUCCAGAUGAAUGCAUCAGCAUGUUAGCAUGAAAAAGGAGCACUGAGAUCAUUACAUCAGCUUCAUAAGGAAAAUAAAAGUUCAUAACUACUCAGAUUGACAGAUGUUUGCCUUCUUCUUUAGCCAUAUUGCACGAUGAUUUAAAUAAAAAAGUCUAUAUACCACAAAUUUUGGCAAGAAUACCUCCUGUAGAAGGCAAAGGGCACCAGGCAGCCAAUUCCAAGGAAUAUGAAGAAUAGAUUUUGGUGGAAUAUUUUCCUUUAUAUUGCCAGCAUAGUCCAGCUCAAAAAGAAGUUUAUCCCUCACAUCCAUCAAAAGAUCCUGUGAAUCAGCAACAGAAACAACCAGAUCUGAAACUUUUGGAAUUUUCCUAGAAAAGACAACGUAUAACAUAGAAAUAUUAAUACCAAACCAAAUACCUGCCGGGAAAUAAUGACAUCUGCUGUGUAUCCAUCUUCAAUCUGUGAAUUCUUCAGCUCCAUUGCUGCUUUCACAAUCUCAUCCUUUUCAGCUUGCUCAGGUAAGCCAAGAAUCUGCAAAAUCAUUCAGAAGGCUGCCAUCAUGAUAAUGAAGAUAAUGAGUUAAAGAUAUGACAAUUCAGUAUAAAUCAUAGCACGGGUUACUGUGCACCACCUUCUUGGGAUGUGACCUGUAAAAGGACCAGCAAAAAUAGUAUAUUAAAUAAGUACAUGGGUAUAGUUGCUUAUGUUAAAGAAGAAUAUUAGGGUUCUAGGGCUGUAAAAGGACCAUUUGUAAGUCUCUCCUGUAACCAAUCUCACAGCAUCUUAACAUCACGAAGGCAACACUCAUCUCUUUGAUACAUACCUCAUCUUGAUUUGUCUAAAACACAUCAGUUCACUUCUCAAACAGCUUUUCCGUUUUAGAACUAAUAGCAUAAUUGUUUCCCAAAUUCUAAUUUUAUCACCUCCCUUAUUCUUCCUAAUAUUGUACAGUUUCUUAGUCAAUUGUUGUUUUAUUGCAUGGUUAUAUUUGCAGAAAUGAGACUAAAAAAGCAGAAGGCAAGAAAUCAAAAUAAUCUCAAGAACUGUGGUAUCAGAAUUCCAGGGUCCACUGAUUGGUAUUUAUCAUUUAAUUGAGUCUCUCAGGAGAUGCAACUCUAUUAGGAUUUCUUUCUAAGAUAUUACAAAUCAAAUUAAGAGCGCAAGGAAAUACAUCAGAAAGUAUGCAUGGCCUUAAAAGGUAACUUAUAAUGCCUCCCCUUGGCAAUGAAGCACCCAUAAGGAGGUUCAUGGGGAAUCAUAGCACAAGAUUUCGACCCACUAGUAAAUCAUAGAGUGGAAUGAUGAUUACGGGACCUGAGAUUGCUUUUGGAUGCAAAUAUUCGGAUCAAGCAAAUCAAAAGGCAUUCAAAAACUCAUUUUACUUCGAAAUCAAAUACACAAUACCAUAAUUCUUCACACCCCCACCAAAACAAAACAAAAAAAAAAAAACAAAGAAAUCAAUACAUGCAAUGGGAUAAUAUUCCAAGUAAAUAUGUCGCCAUCCUCACCUGAUAACAAGUGACGGGAACCUCAACGCCCGAUCGAACCUGGCCAUUUGCCACGGCCGGCCCCUUCAUCACCCUCACCCUCGCCUGCCCGGAGAUCUCCCUCCGGAAGGAACGGGAUCUAGUCUCCAGAGAAACCUCGUUUUGAACUCCGCCGUUCCCCUUACAACCAAGCGAGGCCACGCCGCCCGAAGCCAAGGCCUUGCGCCUCUCACUCAGACCGCAAUUCCCGAAGCCAGGGCCCGGCCGGGGCAAGCCGAGCACCAGAUGAGCAAACGUCAUGCCCAAAACGAAAGCCCAAUCACCUCUCCUUCUCCCGCUCCUCCCCCAUUUCCAUGGAAAAUAACGAUCGAGUGGAGGGGAGUUGUUACAAAUCCUUGGCGACGGUUAGGGCUUUUUUUUCUUGCAUUGUCGGACAAAAUUUUGGAGAUAGAGAUGACACAAGGGGGUAGAAGAAAAAGGCCACGGCGGAGCGAGAGAAGAGAAAAAGAAGAGGACGGGAAGCCUUGACGCCCAAGCUUCGGUGCGUUUGAAGAGAGGGAGGAGCGGAGCGAGGAGUGAAACGGGAAAAGGGACAGCUGGGGAGACUAAAAGCGGAUUGCUUUCUUUUUUUUUUUUAUUUAUUAAUUUGUUUUUAUUUUUAUUUUCCUUGAGCACAUACGGACUAACGGUCCAGAAUCCUAUGAUCGGGGAAAGUUCGAAACAAAUAGAGUUCCUUUUGUAAAGAGUCCCCUUGUGCCAUCCAGCCACUGGUCCUGUUGACUUUCCAGUACAUACGAUGAAUACCAAUAAAAUGAUAGUUCCUCGUCACACACCAAAUAUCAUGAAUAAAAAGAUACAGCAUCAAACGAUUGUCCUUACAAUCAUAAUGGUCGAGACUCCCUCGAUCAUCAACCUUUCAAAUCAUCUAUAGCUCCACCAUCUGAGCCAUGCUGUCAAUGAGAUGACACCCACCAGCAGUCAAAAAUUUAAACUCAAAUUUGCAAAUUACGAAUCAUAUAUCCUCUUUACUGCUUCUCAUAUUGCCAUCAAAAUUGCUCUUGAAAUAUUUGAACAUAGAAACUCCUAAGUGAUAAAUACUGAAUCAGAGUGUUGUUGCUUUAAGAAGCAAACAAAUGGGCAUCAUAUUAAAUUUUUUUAAUAGAUAAAAUAAUAUUUUUUUGAUAAAAUACAUAUAUAAUUUUAAUACUUCCUGUAAAGCAAUAUGAGAUAUCUACGUCAGUAUAUUGCCACCCAAAUAAGAACGGGAAGGGAACCAGCAAUUUCAAAAUAAAAAUACCAGGAGGCCCACCCCUUGCUACCUUAUAUGAUGGAAUUGCUGGCUUACAACAUGAUAAAUCCACCAAUCUUCUCAUGCCAGUGGCAUGCCAAAGUACCAAGACAUCUUUUUGCCAACAGGACUUAGCUGUGCAGUCUUUCUCAUUUUGAAAUGUUAGGCUUUUUCCUGAUGUUAUAGCUGAUGAAGGCUAAAGUAUCAAAAUGCCAGAUUAUGCAAUAAAUUGAGACUAUUUAUUUCUUCAAAGGUUGGUUUUAAUAGAACUUGAGUAAGAAAGCCAAAAAAUGAUAUUAUUGAUUUUAGGCUGAUAAUCUAAAUUUAUAUCAGCCCAGACACAAUUGUUUUCCCGGUUCUGAUAAACUGCUAAUAUUUGGCACCCUCCCUACUUAGAAGAGAACAAUUUAAACACGAAUCAAUAUCUGAGCCAAACAAUUGAAAACAAAUCUCUCACAGCACUGCAAAUUUGCUAAGAUGUAGAAGAGUUUCUGAAGGUCCCACAUGUCAACCGUCGGGCUCAAGGUUUGGUAGGGGCUGCCUUGGAACCCUCCAGCCCGAGUUCAACCAUACCUGACAGCUAGACAAGGAGAAUGAAUGGAUAACAAACAGAAGAACACAUCCUUUCAUGUCUUCGAGGUCAACCUCGAUCAAAACCACACUCACAAGGAGAUUAACACCGAACUACUCACAAUAGAAAACCCUCAGGCACCUCCAGGAGAGCAACACUGAAGCACAUUCACACAAUACGUACAUCAGUAAAAGCAAAAUAUGUUUUUUCUAACCCUUCGAACAGUCAGUAUCUGAUUAGUCCGGCACUACCAAAAAACCGAGACGGCCACCUUCCAUCACCCCCCCUUGCAGAGACCAAGGGCAUUACAGUUUUUGUACUACAUUGAAUAUCACCAAAUCAAAAGAUUGAUCCUUCACAAAAAAAAAAAAGGAUAAAAGUUAGAAGAAUAGAACUUCAAAAUAAACUUAAAGCCAAUUUUCCAUUUGAGAACGGUCCAGAACGAUGUAUUCCAAUAAACACAUCCACAUAAGAAAAUGGCUGGCCGCCCAGUGGAUCCAAAAUUUACAAAGAUACUGUCAUAUAAGGAGCUCUACAAAAAGCCUCAACAUCUGUCAUACCACAGCAAAAUGCCGCACCGGCCAAAACAACAACAGACUGAGAUUACAAACUGCAAAAGAAGAGGAACCAAUUGAGGGGAUAUGACAGAUUACUUAGCAACAAAACAUCAGGAUAUUGCUGUGCCGUCUAUCAUAAAUGCCCAUUCCAGAAUGAUAAAUCAAAAUCAGGUCAACAACUGUCCUACAGUUAGUCAUCAGCAUCAGCAGAUGAAGUUGAUAAUGGCUGAGAUGACUUUAACUCCUACGAUGCUGAUGCAGUUGGGUCUCCAAUUUCCUGUGGCAGAUCUGUUUCCAUCAUGUGUUUCUCUUCAUCUUCAGAUUCUACUAUAGGUUCUUCAGAUUCAGCCUUUGACCUGACACAGUACAGCGAAUUAUAAGAUUUGAGAUUCCAUAACUGUUUCCAGUGGAAUGACCCGGUAUCCUACAAGUGAAGGUGCUCAUAAAAAGCCAUAUCUGUUCAAGAUUUUCUAAAAGCAACACAUUUGAUUGAUCAAAGCAUCAAACCAUCGUGUCAAUCAUGUUCAAGAUCCAAAAGAACCACUAGUCAUGAUUGGAGGUCCAUGAAAGGCACAGGAUCGAAUUUAUAGAAGUCUAGUUAUAUCUCAGAUCAAGGUUUUAAAUCCCACAAAAUGGGGCUAUCUCGGUUUUUCCAUGAAACGAGACGCGUUGUCGUCCCGACAUUUGGGACAAAGAAUAUCCCAAGACGUCUCAAUCGGGACGUCCUUGUCUCGAUACAUAGGAUGGUACCCCAUCCCCGUGUCUUGUGGGACGUCCUGUUGGGACUUGAAUCCUCAUCUUAGAUAUGAAGGAUAGUAGGAAUUCUUUAUAAAUCAAAGGUGCAUUUAAUCAAACCCAUACCAAGGAUCCCCUACAAGGAUAACCGUGUAAGAGAAGAUAAGGGGCAAGAAAAGCUCAAGAGCCACGAAGACUAAAAGCACAACAAACUAUUCACAGGAGUUGAACUAAAGCAGGAAAACGAUAAGAUGGCUUUAAAUUCACCUUGGUUAAAAGCAAAAAUGCAGUGAUAUGAAACACUCACCUUGGUUUAAAAUUACGGACUUUUAAAUCCUGUAUAACACGGAUGAAUGCAUGAAGAGCCAUUUUCUUAACCUGGAUCAUGUUCAAUAAAGUUAGAAACCAUAACAGGAAUUGGAACAAAAUCUUCAAGAUGCAUAACAACAAACAAAUUUAAUAGAAGCAUGAAAAAGCACAAUUAUGGAUUUAUAGGGAAGAAGCAUAGGACCAAAUUAGUAAACCUCUAGCUUAUCUUCCUUAGCCCUGUGCUCUUCUGGAAGUACACGAAAUUCUUCUGUUAAUCGAAUGCAUUGACGGACAUUCUCAGGAGACACAAAGUCUAGAGCAACCUUUAUGCAUGACUGUUCAUGAGGGAAAAAAAUGUCAAAUUGCAGUUACCAAUGAAUCAAGCAUAAACCCUUGGAUUAAGUCAGAAUAAUAGUUCAUAAAUAACAAAUAAUCCACUUAUCAUGUAAAUAAAAGAGAAGCACACCUUCAAAUUUCUAACUUGAUGGGGACAUCCUGCUGGGAUAAAGACAGCCUCGCCAAGCUUUUGCUCAAAAGUCCAGGGCUCAAUUCCUAAAUGAAUCCAAGAUUAUUAGAUCUAGAUGCCUUCAAUCUUAGCAAUACGAAUGCAUAACAGAUAACCAACAAGGCCAUCAUUGUGUCCAUAAUUAGUGUAAGAUUAACUGACCAUAUUCAUCCUUAAGCUUCCUUUUAUGCUCCAAGGUUAAAUAGAAAGACUGGUCAUGAAUAGGGUGAAGCACCUAUAACAGACGAUUGAAGUUAUUUACAAUGCAAAAAGGAAGAUGAAGUGCAAUACAACAUAAUACUGUGCAUAAUGACUUGUUACCUGUUCAACUGGAGAACAGUGGACAUGCCUGAACUCUCUAGCAUGUUUUUUAAGAUAUUCCUGUAGCUUCGUAACAUCUUCUCUUCUAAAAAUAUCCCACAAAGCACCACCUUCUGGCUGCUUCUGCUCUUUUUCCUCUAUGCUGUCACCAGACACAGCAGAUCGUUGCUCUCUUACGUUAGCUGAACCUCCGGCUUCCUUCACCUCUGCACCAUUUUCAGAAUCUGAAAGUUCCUCCACUUGACCACCAUCAGCAUUUUCAGUGGUUUCAGUGUUGACAGUAACAGGAUCAAGUUCUCUUUUCAUUCGUUGACCAGAAACUGCAGGCUUUCUCCCCCUCCUUUUCUUCCUACUUCUAUUUUUUGUUCUCUCAUCUGGCCCUUCAGAAACUUUAUGAUUGUUACCCUCAGCUUGGAUCUCCACAUCAUUACCAGAUUUGUCUUCUGGUUCGAGAUGAGGAGAUAGCAUCACAGUUUCACCCUCGCUCUGAAUUUCCCCUGAAGUUUGCCCAGGCACUACCUUGCUCGGCUUCUUCCCAAAAUCAGCAGGCUGGCCCCUCUUCUUUUGACCUCGUUUCGUCUUAACCACAAGCAUUUCAUCAUCAUCCUUAACAUUUGCAUUACGCACUUCAUCAUUUUCAGUUUUACUGGAAAACUGACUAGCAUUAUCUCCUUGAUCGACUCCUCUAGAGCAAGAGACUCCAUUGCUUUCAGUUUUAACAGGACACAGAGGGAAAUUGUCAUUACCAUACAGCCCAGUUUGGCAAGCAUCAUUACCUGCUUCAGCUUUGACACCAGUAUCCUGAUCAGAUCCUUCCUCCCAAGCUCCAUUUCUGGCAUUUACCACUGCCAAUAUCUGCAACUGACCAGUUCCUUUCAAGGAGGAUUCAGAUAUAGGAAAAUCUCCAUCAGCAGCGGCACAAGACUGAAUAUCAACCAAAUCAGAUGUGGAUUUAAUCACUGAUGGAUCUUCAGUAUGAACUUCCACAGUCUCUUUUAAAUCAUCACAGACUUUGCCAGAAUGCCGGAUUUCAUUCUGGCAUAUAUUCACUUGACCCAUCUCUGGACUUCUAAGAGCUCCUUCACCAUUCAAAUUACAAGAAGCCAUUUGACCAACUUUCUUCUCUUCCAAUUCACUAGCUGAUGCAUGCAACUUAAUGGUUUUCAGAACAGGCUUGUCGACAGAAAGCUUCAGACAAAUUCCAUCACCUGCUUGACUAUCAUCUUCAGUUGUUUGAUGUCCUUUCAAAUCUUCAUUCUGAGAAAGCUUUUGGUUAUUUGAUAAACAACCAUUUUGUCCCUCUUGUUCAUCAUGCAUUACACCUCUUUCAGCUUCAAUGUCAGAAAAGCUUGCAUCAGCAUCUUUCUGAACAUCCAUUGCAUCCCCAAUCUUAAUAUCUGAAUCGUUCACAUGAGAUUCAGCUAUAGAGAGAGAAUUUAUUUUUUGCUGACCAAAAGAAUCAUCACAUAUCAUAUUGUUGGCUUGAACAGGAUGAUGAAGGUCAUUUUCUAAACUAGGUGCUUGAAUGGAGUGUUUUCCCCCAGCAGUAAAGGUGACAUAUGACUUAUCAUCAGGAGGCUCCAUUACAGAUUUCCCUGGAGAUGGCGAUGAGUUCUCUUCUGGAUCUUUUCGUGUGGUACAAUUCUGUUCUCUUAAAUCUUGAUCCCUGUGUUUCUUUUUCAACUUCUCUAUCCUAGAAAGCUGAUAAUCAGUAAGGGUUAUCUCUGCUGUGUGUGUUAAGACAUUCACCUGGGUAAGCAAUUACAUAUCAGGCAUUAAAAAAUUUCCCUGAUUAAAAUGGAGUAAUGUGCGAAACACAAACUACUGAAAUGAUCUAAAACACAGGCUCAACAACAAAUGCUAAUGAAAAAAGGUUUAAUCUAAUGUACUAAUACUAUUAAAAAACGGCAAACAGAAAAUCUAACCAUUAAAUUCAAUAAUUACAGCCCAUGAUUUUAUAGGUGUUUCCAGAGAUCAAGAGAUGAUAGCCAAAAACAACAAACACCAAAAAAUGAUGGUCACAACAAACACCAAAAAAUGAUGGUAACAACAAACAGACGUUUCUGCUUUAGCUUUUCAACACUUUCCCAAUAAAAAACAGAAAACUUAAAAUGGUUAAUACUGCAGAAGGAUAACCUUUCGGGAGAUAUCAAAUCAUUAAAGCCAGGGGCACUAAUGUAUCCUCAAAAGCUCUGAAAUCAGAUUCUGAGACUAUUGCACAAACAUGUGGAUGAGUUAGGCUAUAUAUGUAUUGACUCACCUCAUACAGAAAACCAAAUGUCAAUUAUCAACAUGGGGUAACUUAUACCAACUUACCAAAAAUUGAGCCACAGAUGAACAUGAUAUUUAUUUUUUUACGGUACACGAACAUGAUAUUAAUAAUUGAAGAAAAAUACAUACUGCAUCAGACAUAUCACAAUGAAGCUUCGUCACGGAAUCACCCCUGCCCAACUCUUGGGGAAGACCAUAAGCAAUAUAUGUUUUGGGUCCCAGGUCUGGCUUUAGAACAUCCUUCGGCAGCUUCACUGCAAGAUUCAGAGGACCAUACCUAGGAUCUGUAUAUUCCGGGAAUGGCAAAGCAGUUAUAAACUCGGCACCAUGGCGAGGUAACCGAUCCUCAAAGGAACUGGCUGGAGGCCAAUCCUUCAGUUUUAGCAUCUCAGGCCAUUGAUUUCUGUGAGUUCGCCCCUCAGUAUAUCCUCUGAAAAAUUGGUGAAUAUUUAUCUCAACCUACAACAUACAACAUAUGCAUCAGGGAGUCUCAAGUUAGAUAGAUAGCACAAAACACCACCAUGCAGUUGGCCAGUCUGCCAACACAUUUCCUAGCAUUAGACUGUGAAAAUUAUACAGGAUGGUAAAAACACAUCAAACAAGGAACACACAGCUUUCAAAAAUAGACAUAGGCAACUGCCUACUUGCAUGACAUUCAUCAGAUAGUCCAUUUUAUCCAAUGUAAAAAAUGAACAACCAAGGAACACACAUUCCCCAACUGCAGAGACGGUUGCAACUACAUAUCCACAAAAGUUUCUUCAAAGAUUCUUUGCUUCAAUAGGUACAUGUAGUGUGUACAUUUCCAUCUGAAUAGAGCAUUACCAAAUUACAUUCCUUCAGAAAUCUAUUCAAAUGUUUACUAGGAUUUAAAUUAAUUGACAAACUUCAUACAUUGGUCAAAAUGUACUUCACUGUGAGUAGAUUUUACAACCGCAGCAGUUUUUGUUCAUGCUUAACACAAUGGAACAAAUUGUCAUCCAACUAAGGAUGCAUCAGUUGCAUAUACAUGAUUAAGAAGUUUGGAAAGCUCUGUCAGUCAUGAUGCAAAGAAAAUAAAUAAAGGAAAAUAUAGACCGUUCUACAACUUUUUCAACAGAACAAGGACAAUACCAAAGAUGUGUGUGUAUUCAAUGAAACUACUUUAGAAACAUCUCCUAACAUCAAAAACAUCAAUGAGAUACCAAAACUAACCUCACACCAAUCCAAACAAUCAAUAGCCUUUACUGCAAGCUGCUCAGAUGAAGCCUUAGACUUUGUCUUCUCUCGCAAUGCACGCCACAUAACCAUUGGCUCCCAGCUCAGGCCAGAAGUAAGCUCAAGUACAUCACGAACAAUCACCGGCUCUCCCUUUAACCAGUGGUUUUGGAAGUGCUUCAGUUCUCCCUGUUGAAUAUCUCUAGCAGUAGGACAGUAUAAAUAAUUAUCAUCAGAAUUCUCCCUAUAGGCUGCUUUCCGCAACAUUUCACUCCCAGCAUUAAUAUUACCAGAUGCAGUGAAACAGGCACAUGAACUGGACAUGUCCCCAAAUUUUGCAAACCUAUUGCUCCUAGCAAUUGCAUCAGCUUUCUCCUCUAACUGGAAAAGCAACUUUUCAGGAAACAUGCACUUCAGCUCCAAGAGGGAGCUGCCACAGCCCCCAAUCUCCUUUGGCGGGCAAGGAAUGCUGCCAUCACUAUUUGCUUUCCAUCUUGUCAUAUGAGUCAUUCGAUCUGUAGAGAUAGCAAUCCGGUUGUCUAUAGAACUCUCUUGACUUUUUUUCCUCUUCUCUUGACCUUUAUUCAUGCGACGAGGACAUCCCCCAUGCACAUAAUCCUUACCCCUGUCCUGAUAUGGCAAAAUUACUGUCCCAUCACCACCAGCUAUGUGACCUUCACGUAGUUCCCGGCAGCAACUAAGGCAUAAGUCAUAUGAACAGCGACGGCAGCUUCUAUGGAAAUCAACAAUAGAGGUUCUGCAAUUGUCACUGCUCCAGAACAAUUUCAGAGAUCAGGUUUUUGAAAGGCUUAACUUAACCACAUGCGGAGCCUAUUACUUAUGAAGAGCAAAGUUUCCAUCAGUUGAGAUAUCAGUCAGUAAGUAUCAAAGGCUCAAUGAUACUAUAUAACUAAUAUCUCAGAUGAAAUUUC
rnacentral:lncRNA from 1 species